rnacentral:rRNA from 1 species
UACGAAGGGGGCUAGCGUUAAUCGGAAUUACUGGGCGUAAAGCGUGCGCAGGCGGUUUUGUAAGUCUGACGUGAAAUCCCCGGGCUCAACCUGGGAAUUGCGUUGGAGACUGCAAGGCUAGAAUCUGGCAGAGGGGGGUAGAAUUGCACGUGUAGCAGUGAAAUGCGUAGAGAUGUGGAGGAACACCGAUGGCGAAGGCAGCCCCCUGG